AACGAACGCUGGCGGCAUGCCUAACACAUGCAAGUCGAACGAGACCUUCGGGUCUAGUGGCGCACGGGUGCGUAACGCGUGGGAAUCUGCCCUUGGGUUCGGAAUAACUCGCCGAAAGGCGUGCUAAUACCGGAUGAUGUCGUAAGACCAAAGAUUUAUCGCCCAGGGAUGAGCCCGCGUAAGAUUAGGUAGUUGGUGAGGUAACGGCUCACCAAGCCGACGAUCAGUAGGGGUUCUGAGAGGAAGGUCCCCCACAUUGGAACUGAGACACGGUCCAA
rnacentral:rRNA from 1 species